CGGGAGGCAGCAGUAGGGAAUCUUCCACAAUGGACGAAAGUCUGAUGGAGCAACGCCGCGUGAGUGAUGAAGGUUUUCGGAUCGUAAAACUCUGUUGUUAAAGAAGAACAAGUGUUAGAGUAACUGUUAACACUUUGACGGUAUUUAACCAGAAAGCCACGGCUAACUACGUGCCAGCAGCCGCGGUAAUACGUAGGUGGCAAGCGUUGUCCGGAUUUAUUGGGCGUAAAGCGAGCGCAGGCGGUUUUGUAAGUCUGCUGUGAAAGCCCUCAGCUCAACUGAGGAAGUGCAGUGGAAACUACAAAACUUGAGUACAGAAGAGGAAAGUGGAACUCCAUGUGUAGCGGUGAAAUGCGUAGAUAUAUGGAAGAACACCAGUGGCGAAGGCGGCUUUCUGGUCUGUUACUGACNCUGAGGCUCGAAAGCAUGGGUAGCGAACAGGAUUAGAUACCCUGGUAGUCCAUGCCGUAAAACGAUGAAUACUAGGUGUUGGAGGGUUUCCGCCCUUCAGUGCCGCAGCUAACGCAUUAAGUAUUCCGCCUGGGGAGUACGACCGCAAGGUUGAAACUCAAAGGAAUUGACGGGGGCCCGCACAAGUGGUGGAGCAUGUGGUUUAAUUCGAUGCUACGCGAAGAACCUUACCAGCUCUUGACAUCUUCUGCCAACCCAAGAGAUUGGGCGUUCCCUUCGGGGACAGAAUGACAGGUGGUGCAUGGUUGUCGUCAGCUCGUGUCGUGAGAUGUUGGGUUAAGUCCCGCAACGAGCGCAACCCUUAUUAUUAGUUGCCAGCAUUUAGUUGGGCACUCUAGUGAGACUGCCGGUGAUAAACCGGAGGAAGGUGGGGACGACGUCAAAUCAUCAUGCCCCUUAUGAGCUGGGCUACACACGUGCUACAAUGGAUGGUACAACGAGUCGCGAAACCGCGAGGUCAAGCUAAUCUCUUAAAGCCAUUCUCAGUUCGGAUUGCAGGCUGCAACUCGCCUGCAUGAAGUUGGAAUCACUAGUAAUCGUGGAUCAGCAUGCCACGGUGAAUACGUUCCCGGGCCUUGUACACACC
rnacentral:rRNA from 2 species